rnacentral:rRNA from 1 species
UAAGGAAUAUUGGUCAAUGGACGCAAGUCUGAACCAGCCAUGCCGCGUGAAGGAUGAAGGUCCUCUGGAUUGUAAACUUCUUUUAUCUGGGACGAAAACGGGAUUUUUAUCUCAAUUGACGGUACCAGAGGAAUAAGCACCGGCUAACUCCGUGCCAGCAGCCGCGGUAAUACGGAGGGUGCGAGCGUUAUCCGGAUUUACUGGGUUUAAAGGGUGCGUAGGUGGGCUUAUAAGUCAGUGGUGAAAUCUCCGAGCUUAACUUGGAAACUGCCGUUGAUACUAUAGGUCUUGAAUUAUCUGGAGGUAAGCGGAAUAUGUCAUGUAGCGGUGAAAUGCUUAGAUAUGACAUAGAACACCAAUUGCGAAGGCAGCUUACUACAUAUAAAUUGACGCUGAGGCACGAAAGCGUAGGGAUCAAACA